AGUGAACGCUGGCGGUAGGCCUAACACAUGCAAGUCGAACGGCAGCACAGUAAGAUCUUGCUCUUACGGGUGGCGAGUGGCGGACGGGUGAGGAAUACAUCGGAAUCUACUUUUUCGUGGGUGAUAACGUAGGGAAACUUACGCUAAUACCUCAUACGUCCUACGGGUGAAAGCAGGGGAUCUUCGCACCUUGCGCGAUUGAAUGAGCUGAUGUCGGAUUAGCUAGUUGGCGGGGUAAAGGCCCACCAAGGCGACGAUCCGUAGCUGGUCUGAGAGGAUGAUCAGCCACACUGGAACUGAGACACGGUCCAGACUCCUACGGGAGGCAGCAGUGGGGAAUAUUGGACAAUGGGCGCAAGCCUGAUCCAGCCAUACCGCGUGGGUGAAGAAGGCCUUCGGGUUGUAAAGCCCUUUUGUUGGGAAAGAAAAGCAGCAGGUUAAUACCCCGCUGUUCUGACGGUACCCAAAGAAUAAGCACCGGCUAACUUCGUG
rnacentral:rRNA from 1 species